AUUGACCCCUGGCGGCAGGCCUAACACAUGCAAGUCGAGCGGAAGAAGGGAGCUUGCCCCUGGACUCCGCGGCGGACGGGAGAGUAAUGCCUAGGAAUCUGCCUGGUAGUGGUGGAUAACGUCCGGAAACGGCCGCUAAUACCGCAUACGUCCUGAGGGAGACAGGGGGGGAUCUUCGCAACUCACGCCAGCAGAUGAGCCUAGGUCGGAUUAGCUAGUUGGUGGGGUAAAGGCCUAACAACGCCACGAUCCGUAACUGGUCUGAGAGGAUGAUCAGUCACACUGUAGCGUAGACACGUGCCUGACUCCGACCGGGUGCAGCAGUGGGAGAUGUUGGACAAUGCCCGAAAGCCUGAUUCAGCCAUGCCGCCUGUGUGCGGAGGGGCUUCGGAUCGUAGAGCGAUUCUUGUCGGGAUAAAGAACAGUAAGUUGAAACCGUGCUGAAUUGACGGUGCCUACAGAAGAGGCACCGGCUGUCUGCGUG
rnacentral:rRNA from 1 species